UACAGAGGGUGCAAGCGUUGUUCGGAAUUAUUGGGCGUAAAGGGCGCGUAGGCGGUGCGGUAAGUCUGUAGUGAAAUCUCUGGGCUCAACUCAGAGUCUGCUGCAGAAACUGCCGUGCUUGAGUGUGGGAGAGGUGAGUGGAAUUCCCGGUGUAGCGGUGAAAUGCGUAAAUAUCGGGAGGAACACCUGUGGCGAAAGCGGCUCACUGGACCACAACUGACGCUGAGGCGCGAAAGCUAGGGGAGCAAACAGG
rnacentral:rRNA from 1 species